rnacentral:lncRNA from 1 species
GCCUUUGUAAGGUUGAUGGUGGCUCUCAGCAAUCAUUUCAACAGCUUUGUAAAACACUGUCGCAGAGCCAGAAUUUGGCCACAUCGCCCCAAAUGUCAGGUGGUUGGGCCCUUCCUGACUGCUUGUUAAUAUACUGCAAGCUAAUUAGGCAAAGCAAACUUGUCAAACAUCUGGGGCAGGCAGAACCCCUGGGGGCCAGCCUAGCUGCUUUGGGCUGCACUUUGGACACCCAGGCCUGAAUGUAUUCCUCCUCCGGAGAGUAUUUGAAUUUUAAUGCUGGACAAAGCCCUAAGGUCUGUUGCAAGCAUAGAAUGAAGAACUUAGGUUUGUCCAACUUGGCUCCAGAAGACAGAAUUAGGAACAACCCAUGGAAGAGUUUGAAAGGCAGAUCAACUCCAAGUAAGGAAAACUGUCCUGUAGACACCUGCAGGAAUCUGGGCUUGUAGAGGUGUGGGUUCCUUUACCCUGGCGUUGUUCUGGGAUGAUUGAUUUUGUGAUUUCUGGAUUGAUGGUCCCAAGUGCAGCCUGAUGGCAGCUGUCCUCCGGAAACCAACCUCUCAGUCUGACCUACGGAAACCUGUGAGGCAAAGGACAGAAGUGAAAAAAAUGCUUCUCCCUCUCUCUGCCACCAAAGUCGUCUCUUAUAAUGAGAACAACGAAGUUGCUUUGGGUUCUGGCCUCCAACAUGUCCUAUUUGACCCAUUUCUUUUUUCUUAGAAUUAAUUUGAUUUGGCGAUUAACUGCUUGGUUGUUUCCGUGCAUAAUAACUAUAUACAUAAAAACAGGAA